AUGGCAAAGGCACUUACCGCUGCUGUGGCACCGUCUCUCUCGCGCCCUGACUCUCAGUCUCUCUCUCCCAUCCUCCUGACAGCCUCAAAUAUAGCAGUCCCUUAUGCUGUUCAGCCUGUGGGGAGCAGAGGAUUGCGGAGUUGUUUUUUUUUUUUUCUUUCUUUCCCCUGCAAUUUUUUUUUUUUUUUAAACCAUCCAGAGGUAGUUCUCCAGAUCCGACCGCCUCUCCUCGCCUCGCUCACUGAUGGAGAGACCCAGAGAAUAUGGAUCCUCCUUCCACCUACUGUCACAUCACUGAAUACUCCUUGUAUGCUACAGUGAUCAAAAAUAGAUGGGAGUUGACUUUACUGGAUCAGUCGCUAUUGCUGUAUUGCUGUCCCUUUCUUCUGUGUGUUGGUGCCAUCUGCCUGACACCUGGAGCUCAGCAUUGGGGACAAAGUCUUGAACCAUAACCAUACCCCUAACAGUGACUUGCUUUGUGAUCUUCAGAGCUGACAGAAAAAUGUGAAAACUGUCCUUUCAAUAAAUAAUUCAAGCAUUCAGACUGGAAUUCAAGUAGUCAUGGGCCUGCUGAAAAAUACUCCAUACACCAUUGCACCAAAAAAAAAAAAAAAAGAAAAGUGCUACAUUUGAUUAAAGUAACAGAGGUGGCUUUUGUAAUAGUGUCUCUGUAAGUAUUGGAAUAUCAGUUCACAUCGUCCAGUUGCUGUGAGUAGGAAGCUGCUUCUGUUGUCAGGGCAGUCUUUGUAACUUAUUUAUUUAUUUAUCACUAGGAUUUUUUUUCUUCUGCAAAAUGAAGUUCCCUGUCCUGCAGAGCUAUAAGAAUUAAUUACUACAUGAAAAUAGUAGGUGUAAGUCUUCUCAUCCCCAUCAUUAUCCUCAUCCCAACCUUCAUCCCCAUUCUCACUCAUGUUAGUAUUAAUCUCUUCUUUCUGCUAUACAGUGAAAAGAUACUACUUUCCCCCUCCCCCCCCCUUAGAUAUAAUUAUUAUUUAUAUUUUUUUUUCCAUAGCACAGUCCAUUCUGUUACUCAGCUUCCUUCCUCUGCUGCCUAUGUGAAAGUUGCAAUAACCUCUUCCAUAACAAGUUAUCUUGUCAUUUUAUCUUUUUGCUAUAAAGUGUUUUGAGAUGUUUUGUACAAAAGAUGCUUUAUGAAAAUGAAAUUAAUUUUACUGUUUUAGCCUGAAGCAGGUGCUGCACUAUGAGUCGAUCCCCCUCCUCUCUCCCUUCUAGACUUAGCUGUCAUAUUUUUAAACAGAUGUUACAUUUGUGUGUGUAUAUAUAUAUAUAUAUAUAUAAAUGUUACUUAUGAAUUCAGCAUGCAAAACAGCUUGGAUUUAGCAGUUCUCAAAGACAUCCUUUUUAGAAAAGUCUUACUCUCAUGAAAUAAAUUAAAAAUUAAAACAAAACUAAAAAGACCCCUGAGAGUAAUGGACCUGCAAAACGCGUUUGCCUCAACAAAAACCUCACAACAAGCCUUCAAGUCACAACAAAAUUGAAAAGUCACUGAUUAAAAGGGACAGUUUAAGGAAGGUCCCUAACAGAACCUUUCUCUUCAGUACAUUUACCUUCAUAGUUUAUUUUUAAAAUUUUCAGUGCUGAGACUUUAUGCCAAGUGGUGAUAAAAUUUCUCAUGUAUUUCGUUAAUUUAUGUGUUUUUUCUUCUUCUUGUUGUUGUUGUUGUUGUUUUGUUUUGUUUUUCCUUUCUCCCUGUAGUUUCACAUUUAUGAAGUAGUAAUAGUGUCAGAGGCUCCUGCAGGACCACCUGAGCAAGCAGCAAAUAUGAG
ensembl:lncRNA